GACGAACCGUGCGAACGUUGUUCGGAAUCACUGGGCUUAAAGGGCGCGUAGGCGGACUGCCAAGUCCGGGGUGAAAUCCUCCGGCUUAACCGGAGAAUUGCCUGGGAUACUGGCGGUCUUGAGGGAGGUAGGGGCACGCGGAACUUCCGGUGGAGCGGUGAAAUGCGUUGAUAUCGGAAGGAACGCCGGUGGCGAAAGCGGCGUGCUGGCCCUCUUCUGACGCUGAGGCGCGAAAGCCAGGGGAGCGGAACGGG
rnacentral:rRNA from 1 species